rnacentral:rRNA from 1 species
UACGUAGGGGGCAAGCAUUGUCCGGAUUUAUUGGGCGUAAAGCGCGUGUAGGCGGCCAUGUAGGUCUGACGUGAAAUCCCGAGGCUCAACCUCGGCAGGUCGUUGGAAACCAUAUGGCUAGAGUCCGGAAGAGGAGAGUGGAAUUCCGUGGUGUAGCGGUGAAAUGCGCAGAUAUCAGGAAGAACACCGAUGGCGAAGGCAGCUCUCUGGGACGGUACUGACGCUGAGACGCGAAAGCGUGGGGAGCGAACAGG